ACGGAAGGCAGCAGUGAGGAAUAUUGGUCAAUGGUCGGAAGACUGAACCAGCCAAGUCGCGUGCAGGAAGGCGGUCCUAUGGAUUGUAAACUGCUUUUGUACGGGAAUAAAGUGGGGGACGUGUCCCCUUUGGACCGUACCGUAAGAAUAAGGGUCGGCUAACUCCGUGCCAGCAGCCGCGGUAAUACGGAGGACCCGAUCGUUAUCCGGAUUUAUUGGGUUUAAAGGGUGCGCAGGCGGAGGAUUAAGUCAGCGGUGAAAUUCUCAUGCUCAACAUGAGAACUGCCAUUGAUACUGGUCGCCUUGAGAGAUGUCGAGGAUGGCGGAAUGUGAUGUGUAGCGGUGAGAUGCUUAGAUAUGUCACAGAACACCGAUUGCGAAGGCAGCUGUCCAGAGAUCUUCUGACGCUCAGGCACGAAAGCAUGGGUAUCAAACAGGAUUAGAUACCCUGGUA
rnacentral:rRNA from 1 species